rnacentral:rRNA from 1 species
UACAGAGGUCCCGAGCGUUGUUCGGAUUCACUGGGCGUAAAGGGUGCGUAGGUGGCCUGAAAAGUUUGAUGUGAAAGCUCAGGGCUUAACCCUGAAAUGGCAUUGAAUACUGUCGGGCUGGAGGCUUGGAGGGGGGACUGGAAUUCUUGGUGUAGCAGUGAAAUGCGUAGAUAUCAAGAGGAACACCAGUGGCGAAGGCGAGUCCCUGGACAACACCUGACACUGAGGCACGAAAGCUAGGGGAGCAAACAGG